UACGAAGGGGGCUAGCGUUGUUCGGAAUCACUGGGCGUAAAGCGCACGUAGGCGGAUUGUUAAGUCGGAGGUGAAAUCCCAGGGCUCAACCCUGGAACUGCCUUCGAUACUGGCUAUCUCGAGUCCGGGAGAGGUGAGUGGAACUGCGAGUGUAGAGGUGAAAUGCGUAGAUAUCUGGAGGAACACCGGUGGCGAAGGCGACGUCCUGGACCGGCAUUGACGCUGAGGCGCGAAAGCCAGGGGAGCAAACGGG
rnacentral:rRNA from 1 species